UAACAUCUCUAUUUUCCUUUUCUUGCUGAAGAUUAUUGAUAAGCUAUGGGUGACAUUGAUCCUUCUUUCGUUCAAGACCAUGAGCAGAGGCCAGAUUUCAAAAGCAUAGAAAUUGAAGAAGAAAUCCCAGUUAUUGAUCUCUCGGCUUCAAGCCCAAGUGACAUUCAAGAACUAGUUUCAAAGAUUGGAGAAGCAUGCAAGAAUUAUGGGUUUUUUCAAGUGAUUAAUCAUGGAGUACCACUGGAGCUGCGUCAAAAGACUGAGAAGGUGGCAAAAGAAUUCUUUGAUCAGUCGCUGGAGGAGAAAAGGAAGGUGAAGCGAAACGAGGUAGAUCCUAUGGGAUACUACGAGAGUGAACACACUAAAAAUGUUAGGGAUUGGAAGGAGGU
rnacentral:misc_RNA from 1 species